AUUGAACGCUGGCGGCAGGCCUAACACAUGCAAGUCGAGCGGAUGAAGGGAGCUUGCUCCUGGAUUCAGCGGCGGACGGGUGAGUAAUGCCUAGGAAUCUGCCUGGUAGUGGGGGAUAACGUCCGGAAACGGGCGCUAAUACCGCAUACGUCCUGAGGGAGAAAGUGGGGGAUCUUCGGACCUCACGCUAUCAGAUGAGCCUAGGUCGGAUUAGCUAGUUGGUGGGGUAAAGGCCUACCAAGGCGACGAUCCGUAACUGGUCUGAGAGGAUGAUCAGUCACACUGGAACUGGAACACGGUCCAGACUCCUACGGGAGGCAGCAGUGGGGAAUAUUGGACAAUGGGCGAAAGCCUGAUCCAGCCAUGCCGCGUGUGUGAAGAAGGUCUUCGGAUGGUAAAGCACUUUAAGUUGGGAGGAAGGGCAGUAAGUUAAUACCUUGAUGUUUUGACGUUACCAACAGAAUAAGCACCGGCUAACUUCGUG
rnacentral:rRNA from 1 species